rnacentral:rRNA from 1 species
GAUGAACGCUGGCAGCGUGCCUAAUACAUGCAAGUCGAGCGAACAGACGAGGAGCUUGCUCCUCUGACGUUAGCGGCGGACGGGUGAGUAACACGUGGAUAACCUACCUAUAAGACUGGGAUAACUUCGGGAAACCGGAGCUAAUACCGGAUAAUAUAUUGAACCGCAUGGUUCAAUAGUGAAAGACGGUUUUGCUGUCACUUAUAGAUGGAUCCGCGCCGCAUUAGCUAGUUGGUAAGGUAACGGCUUACCAAGGCAACGAUGCGUAGCCGACCUGAGAGGGUGAUCGGCCACACUGGAACUGAGACACGGUCCAGACUCCUACGGAGGCAGCAGUAGGGAAUCUUCCGCAAUGGGCGAAAGCCUGACGGAGCAACGCCGCGUGAGUGAUGAAGGUCUUCGGAUCGUAAAACUCUGUUAUUAGGGAAGAACAAAUGUGUAAGUAACUAUGCACGUCUUGACGGUACCUAAUCAGAAAGCCACGGCUAACUACGUG